CCUACGGGAGGCAGCAGUGGGGAAUCUUCCGCAAUGGACGAAAGUCUGACGGAGCAACGCCGCGUGAGUGAAGACGGCCUUCGGGUUGUAAAGCUCUGUUAUACGGGACGAACGGGCAGGAUGCUAAUACCAUCCUGUUGUGACGGUACCGUAAGAGAAAUGCCACGGCUAACUACGUGCCCAGCAGCCCGCGGUAAUCA
rnacentral:rRNA from 1 species